rnacentral:rRNA from 1 species
UCGGGAAUUUUGGGCAAUGGGGGAAACCCUGACCCAGCAACGCCGCGUGAAGGAUGAAGUAUUUCGGUAUGUAAACUUCGAAAGAAUAGGAAGAAUAAAUGACGGUACUAUUUAUAAGGUCCGGCUAACUACGUGCCAGCAGCCGCGGUAAUACGUAGGGACCAAGCGUUGUUCGGAUUUACUGGGCGUAAAGGGCGCGUAGGCGGCAUGACAAGUCACUUGUGAAAUCUCUGGGCUUAACCCAGAACGGCCAAGUGAUACUGUCGCGCUAGAGUGCAGAAGGGGCAAUCGGAAUUCUUGGUGUAGCGGUGAAAUGCGUAGAUAUCAAGAGGAACACCUGAGGUGAAGACGGGUUGCUGGGCUGACACUGACGCUGAGGCGCGAAAGCCAGGGGAGCAAACGGGAUUAGAUACCCAGGUAGUCCCUGAGCGGGCUGGCAAGGCG